rnacentral:rRNA from 1 species
GAUGAACGCUGGCGGCGUGCCUAAUACAUGCAAGUCGAGCGAACAGACGAGGAGCUUGCUCCUCUGACGUUAGCGGCGGACGGGUGAGUAACACGUGGAUAACCUACCUAUAAGACUGGGAUAACUUCGGGAAACCGGAGCUAAUACCGGAUAAUAUAUUGAACCGCAUGGUUCAAUAGUGAAAGACGGUUUUGCUGUCACUUAUAGAUGGAUCCGCGCCGCAUUAGCUAGUUGGUAAGGUAACGGCUUACCAAGGCAACGAUGCGUAGCCGACCUGAGAGGGUGAACGGCCACACUAGAACGGAGACACGGUCCAGACUCCUACGGGAGGCAGCAGUAGGGAAUCUUACGCGAUGGGCGAAAGCCUGACGGAGCAACGCCGCGUGAGUGAUGAAGGUCUUCGGAUCGUAAAACUCUGUUAUUAGGGAAGAACAAAUGUGUAAGUAACUAUGCACGUCUUGACGGUACCUAAUCAGAAAGCCACGGCUAACUACGUG